UCAUCAGGGAUCAAGGUUGCCAUUACACCGGAUGAAUUUGUAUUUUAGCAGAUUGUUCAUAACGCGACAGAUAAAGAUGCGAUUCUCAAAAAUUUACAGAUAUUUACCAAAGAGCCAGAUUUCUUUCGUGUUGUUCCACAAAAAGGUCAUCACGUGAAAUUUUGUUAAACGUAAUUAUUGUCGGAUUAUCGUCAAACAUUUAUUUGCUUGGUCAGAUUUUCUUUGAAACUGUCUGGCACCAGGGAAAGAAAAAAAGAAGAAGUCAGUUGUUCACCCUUCAGAUUGCAUAGACUGUACAUUCAAGAGCAAACAAAACACUCACCGUCAUGGUUAAUAUCCAAGCCAAAACGAGUAGUUCAGAAUUAUACAACACUCCCCGUUUCGACGUGACAUUUACACUCACGAUCAGUGUCUUGUCUGCUCUGUAACAUACAGUCACUGUAGUUCUGACCUGACAGUUCAGAUAACACUAUAUAUUUUCGUUCAAGUUGUUUGGAAAGUUAGUAAUUAAAACCUGAAAAUUAAAACUUACAGGAAUUCAAUGUGUGUGAAGCAUAAGGCAAUAUAUCUAAGGCAAUUGGGAUUUUGAGACACGGUUGGCCCAGUGAUAUGCACCAGCGUCAAGCUACGCACAAAAAGCCUAUUCAAGCACCAAAAUUUUUCCAGGGUGACAAGCCGAGACACAAACCAAAAGCGUAAAGCUACGCACAAAAAGCCUGUUCAAGUACCAAAAAUUUAGACACAAGAAGCGAUAUCUAGUAUUUAUCUAAGGAACUAAAAAAAUACCUAAUUUUUUUUCUAGCAUUUCUGUACGUAGCAGAGGCACAAACCAAUUUUUUGAGUUUUAAAAGCACCAUCUAGUAACCCAGCUACGCACAAAAAGCCGCUUCAAGCACAAAAAUCCAAUUCAAGCGAAAAAUUGUAAUCAUUAUCGUCAAAAAUAACUUAGAUUGCCAUUAAAUAAAAUUUAAUUAAUUAUGGUAACUCUAAA